UUUGGUUUGGUUUUCUCCUUGAAGUAAUCAGUUUUAUCCCCCGCGCCCAUUCCCCUAGGACAGCACAUUUGUAGAGGAGGGGUAAAGAAAAGUGGGAGUAGGAAGGCUUCCUGGAAAAGCCACAGGGCAAAGAGCCAGCAGAGAUGGAGGGAGAAAGUCCGUGGCUCGGGCCACAGUAUCGCCAGCAUCCGCCCUCCUUCCUCACCAGUUGUCAUGACCUCUUUCUUAUUUGGGGCCUUUUUUUCUUUUUCAGUGACAGUAAAGAGUGAUGUGUGGGGAGGUCAGAAGGGAUAAAGGCUAAAAGAGAUUUGACUGUGAACUGGGUGCUGUAGGUGGGAGGUGGGCUGUGUCUAAGAUUCACUCAUAUAGUCUUUCACAGGCGCACACGCCGCCCACACAGCCCUUUGAGCAAGCCCCUUCCAGCUAGUUCUUGAAAGCCCAGGAAGGACAUGUCACCUGAGGCAGAGUUACGAAUGUGUUUCCUAAAAUUUUAGUUUUGCCUUUGCAAAAUAAAAAUGAAGGCCAUACCCCAGUACAGACCCAGUAGGUGACAGGAACUUGGCCCAAGGUGUCUGAGACCAGCCACACAGAGAUCUAUUUCCAAAUCUGGAAUCUGAAGAUGGAAAGCGGGGGGAUGGGGUGACACCCUCGUAGGCUUUCUGCCCCAAGAAUCGGCCCCCACCCCUACUGCUGAGAGAAGAAAGCACAGCUCGGGUGUAAUUAAUUGAGGACUGUUAUUAGGUCAUCAUUAGCCAAGGUGCUAAUAAUUGCAGCCCAUUUUUACUUAAAAUUGACCAGUCCCAGAGUGAUAGAUCGAUUCGGAGUAUAAAAAUGAUGUAUCAAAACAUCAAUGUCGAUUAUUUGAAAUAUUGUAGUCGAAUUUUUUUUAUUGCUUCAUCGGUUAAGUGUCUGAAAGUGCAGUGUUCAAACAUAUAUUUAUGUUGUCAAUACUGUCAGAACUGUCAGUUUUACUAUACUGGAUUUGUACUACCUUUCAAAUUUGCUCAUUUACAUAAAAUGCCCACCCUAGGAUUCCCCCCACCUCCCACCCCAUCUCUGGAAAAUCCGUGUCAAUUCCUUCAAAGGAUUCAGCAGUCUGUGCCUAUUAAAAUGUGCACUGCCUCUUUUACUCAAUUUUCCACGACGGAUUACAUGUCUUUUUCACCAUUUUUAACUUUCAGAGAGGUGCUUCCUCCUUUCUGCCUAACUCUGCCCAUCCUAACCUCUUCCCCCAAAUGGUACUGAAGCAGUUGCAAAGCAUCAGGUUUAAAUACCCACAUCCUAGCUCUAAAAUAUACCAUUUAGGCAGAAAAACAGAUUUCACUGUCCCUCAUAGCCCCCCCCAUAAACCCGGCAGUCCACCAGGCAGAUGUUCUCACAGGUGACAAAGUCCAUCACCCAAUUACCUAGAAGAUUGGAGUCUUCCAAGGAAAGUAAAUUUGAAAAUAAAAACACUUUUUCUUUCUUUUUACUUAAAAGCUGUGAUGGCAGAAAAAAAUAAUAUAUAUAAAUGAUCAGCACGUUUUACCUUUGAAAGCUUUUGAACUCAAUUCAAAGACAUGAGUUGGAAGCAGAAUUGACAGUUUCAAUUCUACCCAUUUUCACCUGGCACGGCAGAUCAGAGGCAAUCGUUUAUUUUAUGGGGUGUGGAUUGGAAAGGUGGAUAGAAAGCUUGAAUCACUGAAGUCUCUAUCCUAAAAUUCCCAGAGAAAUUAAGGACUCUUACUAAAACAAACAUUGCCUUGCUCUGUACCCUCCUUCUAAACUAGCUGAAAUUUAUAAAUUCACAUUAUGCCUAAUUUUAUGCUUUUAAUUUUUUUCCAGGAUCCCCUCAAGUCUGAUAGGAAAGACAGGACUACUUCUGGACUAGCUUGCUACUUCAAGAAAUUCGUCAGCCUUCUACAGAUACUUCCAGUUCUGCGGUAAUGAUCUGCAGAAAUGACCUGCUAUCGCUUUAUCACAUCCCAGGGUGUUUCGGGGACCCCGGGAGAGGGGACAGUGGUAGCCGCGCUUAAUUACCUUGGGGAGGGAGGGGCGCCGACCGGGCGGAAGGCGGACAGGGACCGGGACCGGGAGGGUCCUCCCGAGGCACCUGAGGAAGCUCCCAGGCGCCUCUCUGCGAGUAUUUGGAAAAGGUAUGGUUGCCUUUUUUUUUUUUAAUUCCUUUAGGGAGAAGUGAUACCCUUGUGUAACAAUUAGC
ensembl:lncRNA